AUAUAUAUUCAGUAUCAAUCCUCGGGCCAUGAUUCCAUUUCCCUGUCUAUUUGCACAGUUGCUCUAGAUGAAAACAGCGAGUACCAUGGUAUAUUCUUGUCUUCUUUCUUGUUCUGUUGUUCAUGUCAUUACGUUAAUGGAAAGGAGGAUACAUAAACACCUUUUUUAACCAUCAAGUAAAUGAAUAAAGAAAACUACUUCACAACAGAACGCAUAAACCUGAAAGCUUGCUUUUUUCUGUUCUUGUUUUCACCACCGUCGGCAUCUCUCUUCUCUGAAUUUCAUAUUUGUUAGAGGCAGGGGGGAAAUUGAGGGCACUGCUUUUCUGUUUCAUUUCUGGGACGCAUGGAUCAGGGGCACUCAACUAAUGCUGUGGAGAACAGGCAAAGCGAGUACAUUCUGAUUAGUGAUGCAGAGGAACCCCGCUUGGGAAUGUUUGACAAACCCCUUCCUUGUUUUGGAUGUGGAAUUGGAUGGUUUUCUCUUCUGCUUGGAUUUGUGUGCCCUUUGAUGUGGUACUUUGCAACAAUUCUUUACUUUGGGAGGUACUACCAUAAGGAUCCAAGGGAACGAUCAGGGCUAGCUGCCUGUGCAAUAGCUGCUACGAUAUGCACAAUAGCUGCAGUGAUUGCUCUGCUUGUUAUUUUGUUGUAGUCCCUGCCAUCUCAGUUUCAUCCUUGAAACUGCCACUCGUGUCAUAGAAAAGAUGAAAAACCAUGCUAUGUAGUUAAGAUUUUCAUCCUGAGUUCCAAUUGAAGGAAAAGAGCAUCAGUGCUAUCAAGGUUCUAAGAUUAACAUCUAUAGCAUACUUGCUAACUUUCACCAGGGAAAGAUUUCAGAAAGCAGCAACUACCAUUAAUUCAUUGUAAGUACUAUUUAGUGAAUUGUCAAUGGAAAGAAGAUGAUAUUCGUUAUAUGAGGUAUGAAAUUGUUCAUUAAUUUCAUGAACUGAUGCCCCAAUAGCUUUCUGUGGAAUUUCAUGAAAUGACACAUACUAGCAGCACAUCACAGUUCUGCUGAUGCAUUAAUGAGCGCUAGCGGCUGCAACUCCUGAAAGUUACAUUUUACGUGAAGACGCAAAUGUAGUGUUUUUGUCCUUUCUCCAUGUGAAACUGAAGGUACCGAUAAAUUUUGAGUUGAAAAAGGUUGUUUGAUGGGCUUUGCAAAAUCUGGACAUGGUUUAUGUUGAGAUGGACUAGUUGGCUGUAAUAAAAAAAUAAGUUGCCUUCACAA